rnacentral:rRNA from 1 species
UACGUAGGGUGCGAGCGUUGUCCGGAAUUAUUGGGCGUAAAGAGCUCGUAGGCGGUCUGUUGCGUCCGCUGUGAAAACCCGGGGCUUAACCCCUGGCUUGCAGUGGAUACGGACAGACUAGAGGUAGGUAGGGGAGAAUGGAAUUCCCGGUGUAGCGGUGAAAUGCGCAGAUAUCGGAGAACACCGGUGGCGAAGGCGGUUCUCUGGGCCUUACCUGACGCUGAGG